CUGGCGGUAUGCUUAAGACAUGCAAGUCGAACGGUAACGAGGUUAAGCUGACGAGUGGCGGACGAGUGAGUAACGCGUGGGAAUCUACCUUGUAGUGGGGGAUAAGCCGAGGGAAACUUGGACUAAUACCGCAUACGCCCUACGGGGAAAGCGCAAGUCGCUAUAGAUGAGCCCGCGUCUGAUUAGGUAGUUGGUGGGUAAAGGCCUACCAGCCGACGAUCAGUAGCUGGUCUGAGAGGAUGAUCAGGCCACGUCGGGACUGAG
rnacentral:rRNA from 1 species